CAGAAACUGAAGGUGUCCAAGAGACUGACAGCUGUCUCCUGACUUCCCCAGUCCUCACUGGCAAUGGGCAUGUCCUCUCAUCCCCUGCGGCCCGGCAUCCUUCUUCCUUGCCUUGAGGCUGCGCCUUAGACUGCCCGGCUGCAGUGCAGUGGCGCGAUCUCGGCUCACUGCAACCUCCGCCUCCCGGGUUCAAGCGAUUCUCUGGGCCUCAGCCUCCUGAGUAUCUGGGACUACAGGCGCUCAACUAGUUCUGGCUUAUUUUUGUAUUUUUAGUAGCGACGGCGUUUCUAAACGCCAACCUGGUCUCGAGCUCCUGACUUAAGUGAUUCGUCUGCCCCCCCAUCAAAGUGCUGGAAUUACAAGAAGAAACCACAGCACCCGACCUUAUUUCAUUUUUUAAUAUACAUCCAAAUUAAUCUUAAGUUAGAAAUCUGAACAUGUUACUCUCUAAAAAUACUUUGAUAAUUCCUUAAACCACAAGGAAUAAAAAAUAAUCCUCUUAUUUACUCAACCAAUAUCAGUAACCAUGUUCUGUUUACAUGGCACUAUGUAUCAUGGACACUAGGAAUAGAAACACGAAUAAUUCACGAAGCUUUUAAUUUGAAUGGUUUGGGGACUUCGAAGGCACAAAAUGAUAAGGCGAAGGAUCGGCUCCUUUUUGCCACCAUGAAUGGAAGCAGCCUGUGGUCCUCACCAGAUGCAGAUGCCCGUGCCACACAUGUACCAAAUAAAACUUUUUAUCCAUGAGCCAAAUAAAACUUAAAAAAAAAAAAAAACAAACUAGCCUUAUGUGUUCCUUUGUAGCAACAAACAAGUGAAGACACUCACCUUUCACUUAUCAUCUCCCUCUCUUGCUCACUUUGCUCCAUUCACACCAACCUUUUCUAUCCCUAAAAUGUACUAAGAUCUGUUGUCCUCACAACCCUUGCUUUUACUGCUUUCUGGAUGUGAGAUAUUCUUUUCACCUCUAAUAUAAACAUACAUACUUUCUCCCUUUCUCCUCUCUCUCUCUUGGUAAUUGGGUCUCCGUCCCACAGGCUGGAGUGCAGUGGUGCAAUCAGAACUCACUGCAGCCUUCACCUCCUGGGUUCAAGUGAUCUUCCCACUUCAGCCUCCCAAGUAGCUGGGACUACAGGCUCACACCACUAUGACUGGCUAAUAUUUUUAUCUUUUCUUUUUUUUUUUUUUUGUAGAGAGAGGUUUUCUCCAUGUUGCCCAGGCUCACCUGCUCUCCUUUCUGAUUUAGCUAACUCCUACUCAUCCUUCAAUUAUUAAAUAUUAGUUUAAUUUGUCAGAGCAUUAUUCCCAGAAUCUCUUGCCAGAUUAAGCUAUCUCCUCCUGCUAUAAACCCUAUCUCUACUUUUGCUUAGCAAUAUGUGUAACAACCAUAUUAAGUAGUUGUUUGAGCAAUUGUUUGUUAAUUAUCUGUCUUCUCUAUUACUCUAUCUACAGUGAGGGUAGGCACUGCGUUUUUUUUGUUCAUCAUUCUUACCUGACUGCCUAACCUAAUGCUUAACAUUUACUAUACACUCAAUAAAUGUAUAUUAAAUAAGUGAAUCAUAAAAAGCGUUACAGAAGAAUAAGAUUUACUGAAUUAUUCUGUUUGUCAAAGGUAGCUCAUAAACAAAGAAAGACAAGAUGUAGCCACCUCAAAAGGUAGCUCAUAAACAAAGAAAGACAAGAUGUAGCCACCUCAGAAGGGAGAAUAUGAGGCAACAAGCCAAAGCAAAAGUGUUGUUCACUUAAUUUUUUAAAACAUGACCCAUAAAUAACGCCUCUUCUCUUAUAUCUUCCAGGUACUGACUUCCAUCUUGACUGUGUCAGUUUCAUGAACCAACAUUAUUCUUCCCUAGUCUUAGUCUCUUUCCAAAUUUUUCUCCAUUUCCUGUCAGUCGUGAAUUUUGAUUAUAUUUUUCUUUGUGAUAUUGUUAAAUAAUUUUCCUCUUAAUCCCACAGGCACUGCUGCAUUGCACGGCACAAUUAUCUUAGUCUUCUACAAAGUCUUCUGAUACGUCUUUCUACCCCAAACUCGUAUAGCACUCUUAAUGCCAGAUUAAUCUUCGUAAAGCAAUUCUUUAAUUAUGUCACUCAUAGUUCAAAAGUUUUCAUUUACUCUUUGUCAUUCUAUAAAACAAAUCUAGGCAUUUUACUUUAGCAUUCAUGGCCUUUAUCUUUAUUAUUCUCUUGUUUCGAAUGUAAAUUUUCUGUCUCAGUGAAACCAGUUCAUAUAUACCUACCUCUGAUACGUAUUUUCCAACUGUGUGUGCUGAUAAAAAAAUCUCUUCUUUCUCUUAAUUUUUUUCUCAUCUAUAUUCUGGGCUAUCGCUUGAUACUAUAUAUUAUUUCUAUCAUUUAUUUUUAUCUUAAUGUGUGUAAGCUGAACCCCAAACUUAAUUGCUAAUAACUUGAGAACUUCACUGUGUAGUUCCCGCAUCUGGGAUAGUACCUAGUAAACUAAUUGCAGUUUUUUUGUAACUGACUAUAGUGCCAUCAUUUUGAAUAGUAUGUAAUACUAAAUGUAACUCAAAAAAUAUUUAUUGUUGAUGAUGAUGGAUACUAUAUAAAGGAGAGAAAUUGAGCAAAAUACAUCGAAAAUUUUGAGGGAUUCUAAGAAUGUAGAAUAUCUUUAAGGGUGAAGAUAACUGAAUUCACUUGAGAUUCUUAAUGGUUGAUCAGGAUGUCUAGCAGUAUAUCAGCUUUAGCUGAAUUGUUCCCUGAUGCAAAUGAAGAUGAGGGAAGAACAUUUCAAUGGAUAAACUGACCAAAGUUUCAGAGAGUGGAAAUAUAUGUGUACAGAAGAUUUGCUAAUUUAACAAUAGAGGAAAUUGCUCACACCAUGUGGGGAGCAUUAGAUGACUAUUCCUUUGGUAGGCAUAAAGUGAAACUGUGCUUAUGUAGAAAAAAAUCUUUUUGAAGGGAUGUUUUAAAAUAAUUUUUCUGGCUGAGCACAGUGGUUCACACCUGUAAUCCCAGCACCUUGGAAGGCUGAGGUGGGAGGAUCACCUGAAGUCAGGCGUUUGAGACCAGCAUGACCAACAUGAUGAAAUCUCAUCUCUACUAAAAGUACAAAAAUUAGCCAGGUGUGGCAGCGCACACUUGCAAAUACAGCUACUUGGGAGGCUGAGACAGCUUGAACCCAGGAAGCAGAGGUUGCAGUGAGCCGAGUAGUGUCAUUGCACUCCAGCCUGGAGAAUAGAGCAAGACUCUGUUGCAAAAAAAAAAAAAAAAAGAAUUUCUCAUUCAGUAGGAACCUUACAUUUUGAGAAGGUUUAAAAAUAUUGGUCAACAUGUACACGAAUGUUCAUUGCAGCACUGUUUACAAUAGCAAAGACCUGGAAUCAACCCAAAUGCCCAUUGAUAAUAGACUGGAUUGGAAAAAUGUGGCACAUAUACACCAUGGAAUAUUAUGCAGCAAUCAGAAAUGAUGAGUUCGUGUCGUUUGUAGGGACAUGGAUGAAUCUGGAAAACAUCAUCCUCAGCAAACUGACACAAGAACAGAAAAUGAAACACCGCAUAUUCUCACUCAUAGGUGGGUGAUGAAAAAUGAGAACACAUGGACACAGAAAGGGGAGUACUAAACA